GCCCCCGUGGUGGAAUGGUAGACACGCCCGGCCGUCAAUCGGGUGAACUGCGGCUCGUGAGGGUUCGACUUCCUCCGGGGGUA
rnacentral:tRNA from 1 species